AUUGAACGCUGGCGGCAUGCCUAACACAUGCAAGUCGAACGAGUGGCGGACGGGUGAGUAAUGGCUGGGAACCUGCCUGAUCGAGGGGGAUAACUACUGGAAAAGGUAGCUACUACCGCAUACGAUCGGAUCGGCCCACAUGGGAUGAGCUAGUAGGUGGGGUAAAGGCUCACCAAGGGGACGAGCCGUAGCUGGUCUGAGAGGGUGACCAGCCACACUGGAACUGAGACACGGCCCAGACUCCUACGGGAGGCAGCAGUGGGGAAUAUUGAACAAUGGGCGAAAGCCUGAGCCAGCCAUGCCGCGUGUAUGAAGAAGGCCUUCGGGUUGUAAAGUACUUUUAGCGGGGAAGCGGUACCUGCAGAAGAAGCACCGGCUAACUACGUGCCAGCAGCCGCGGUAAUAC
rnacentral:rRNA from 1 species